UGUGCCUGUGUGUGUGUGUGUGUGUGUGUGUACUGUUUGUUUCCAUCUGUGUGGGAGAUUUCCAGCUCUGCAGCUUUGACUUCAUGUGUUAUGUGAUGUUUUUUUAGUUAUGUUUUAAUUGUGACCUGCCAAGGGACUGCAGAUGUAAAUUAGCUUUAAG